UUCUUGCAGCUGACAGUAUUAGUCCGACAUGUGAUUCGCAGGCUUGAGCAAGGGCCAAUUAACUAGUGUGAACCUUUCAGCGGCAAAUCCAGGCCCUGCCAGAAUCCGGACCGCAGCUGUGUGAUGUGUCUGACCUGAGUAACGUGUCUGUCCAAGGGCAAGCCAUUCACACCAACACAUGACGGCUUUUCACACUAAUCAGGGUGCCCUGAAGGAUGUGCCAUUCGACGUGCCUCACAGCAUCAAGUCCAAGGACUGUGUGGAGUAGAUAGGGUGAAUGGGAUCUGGACAUGACGGAGGUCAAAUUUGAACCUGUAACCUCAGAGAUUACUCACAUGACAUAUACAGCAGGGGGUCCAGCUGAGCAGCUGCCAUUAGGAGAAAUGGAAAUGCUCUCUUCAGGUAAUGUAGACCUCCUUGGCAUGAACAAAGUGCCAAAGUCACCUCUGGAUAUCUGAUUAUUCUUAACUUCCAGACCAUGUAACACUAGUCCAACCUUGAGACCCCAAUAGCAGCAUUACGUCUAUC